rnacentral:rRNA from 1 species
UACGUAGGGGGCAAGCGUUGUCCGGAAUCACUGGGCGUAAAGCGUGCGUAGGCGGUUUUUCAAGUCUGGGGUGAAAGUCCAUGGCUCAACCAUGGGAAUGCCUUGGAAACUGGGAGACUUGAGUACUGGAGAGGCAAGGGGAAUUCCACGUGUAGCGGUGAAAUGCGUAGAUAUGUGGAGGAAUACCAGUGGCGAAGGCGCCUUGCUGGACAGUUACUGACGCUGAGGCACGAAAGCGUGGGGAGCAAACAGG